AUGAUUUAUGUAAUAACUUCAUUAGCAAGUGCAAAUUUGUUUUUCAGUGCACGUUACUGUUAAUGGUCAAUGUCUCACACCCAAUGUUAAUAGGAUUACACCACAACAUCUAUUCAUCAAUCCAUCCAUCUUUCUCUCUCUCUAUGUGUGUGUAUCACUCCAGACACUCCUGCUCACUCGUUCUUUAAUAAUAUUUUCUGCAUUUUAGACAAUUUCAAGAAUGAUACAAAUUGUUCUGCAGGAGAAAGUAAGUCAUACAGAUUUGGAACAAAAUGAAGACUCAGUGCAGCUGUGGACCUCUUCACCUCAGCCUGGUACUCGAGGUCUGCACCCCUGCAUGAUGAACAAUGGAGGUAUUAGAAGGCCCUGUUAAGCUGCAGCCCUCUUCAAACAGGCAGCCAGCAUGGUACCAGAUCCAAGCCCUCAGCAGCUGUGCUAACCCCCAUUCACUUCACUGACAGAAAUCCCCGUUCUCCAUCCCAAAGACUGCUUAAUGCAGGGCUCUCUCAAGUGAAAAGAGUGUUUCUUAUAUCUUUAUUAUCUCAGAAAAAGGACACACAGAUUCUUUUUGUACCAGUACACUUUCAUUUGCCAAAGGCAAGCAAUCU